GCUGGGCAUGGUGGUGCAUGCCUGUAAUCCUAGCUACUUGGGAGGCUGAGGCAGGAGAAUCACUUGAAUCCGGGAGACAGAGGUUGCAGUGAGCAGAGAUUAUGCCACUACACUCUAGCCUGGGUGACAGAGUGAGACUCUGUCUCAA
rnacentral:SRP_RNA from 2 species